UUGAAACAAAGGCCAUUGGAUGU
rnacentral:piRNA from 1 species